rnacentral:rRNA from 1 species
GAUGAACGCUAGCGGCAGGCCUAACACAUGCAAGUCGAGCGGGGUUUUCGGACCUAGCGGCGGACGGGUGAGUAAUGCGUAGGAAGCUGCCCGAUAGAGGGGGAUACCAGUUGGAAACGACUGUUAAUACCGCAUAAUGUCUACGGACCAAAGUGUGGGACCUUCGGGCCACAUGCUAGCGGAUGCGCCUACGUGGGAUUAGCUAGUUGGUGAGGUAAUGGCUCACCAAGGCGACGAUCACUAGCUGGUUUGAGAGGAUGAUCAGCCAGACUGGAACUGAGACACGGUCCAGACUCCUACGGGAGGCAGCAGUGGGUAAUAUUGGACAAUGGGCGCAAGCCUGAUCCAGCCAUGCCGCGUGUGUGAAGAAGGCCUUCGGGUUGUAAAGCACUUUCAGCGAGGAGGAAGGGUGGUGUGUUAAUAGCACAUCAUUUUGACGUUACUCGCAGAAGAAGCACCGGCUAACUCUGUGCCAGCCGCCGCGGUAACAC